CUCCGCCUCGCCGACGCCGGAACCCUAGCCGCCGCGUGCGGCCGACCAUCAUCGACGGCUCAGGGACUGGGUUCGCUCGGCGAUCAUGGCACUCGCUUCUCGGCUCGUUUCCAAGUUUAGAUGUAUAUUUGCUUGAGGCUUGAGCUAAGACACCGGAUUUACCGGUUGUUCCUUUUCUUUUCGAGCUGCGAGGGUGAUUGUUCUUUCGCGUUGUGUGCAGACUCUGUGUUUGCUUCAAUUCCCGAGUGAACUGCGGCGUACAGUUUUUGAGCGAUCGUGACACUUAAGUUAGCGGGUUCCCGUGUCGGCGUAUCUCGCGAAGCUUGCUCGCAUCUCCGUGAAACCAUACUGAAGUGAGGAUCAUCCACGGGACAUGAUGGGUUUGGAGGUUGAAACGCUUGAGGAGAGAUUGAAGUCUUCCUUGGUCCAGCUUCAUGCGGAAGGUGCCAUUCUUGAAAGGAUGGUGUACAAAAACAAGAACCAGC
rnacentral:lncRNA from 1 species